rnacentral:lncRNA from 1 species
UUUAUACUCGUCGAUGUAAUAUUCGUAGUAUAAGAUGUAUUAUGAGAUGUCAGAAAUAAAAUGUUACUAACAACGAAGUUGACAUGGAAAUGAGCAUGAGAUGUCACAUCGCUGUAACUUUACAGAAUGCAGGAGCAGAGUGCCUUCUGACAUACGUCAGAUAUGUUUUGACAGAAAUAUCUUACAAUAUGCGGCCGGCCUAAAUGAAAACUUAAUUUCCGUCCACAUACUCGCAGCCAAUUGACAAUCCACCAUCACUAGGCUAAACAGGGAGCUUAUUUUUUAUUCAAUCAAAGUAUCUUCUGGCAUGGGUCAAAUAUUGUCUUGACAGAAAAAUCUUACAAUAUUUUCUCUUAUUCUCCGUCUACAUACUCCCAACCAAUCGACAUUCGGCCAUCACUAGGCCAGUCAGAGAGCUUAUUUUCAAUCAGUGUCAUAUGGCAUGUGUCAUAUUUUCUGUCAGAAAAAAAUCUUACUAUAUUGCAGCCGGCCUUAAUGAAAACUUAUUCUCCAUUCGACAUUCGGCCAUCACUAGGCCAGUCGGGGAGCUUAUUUUAUAUUCAAUCAAAGUGCCUUCUGGCAUUGGUCAAAUAUUGUCUUGACAGAAAAAUCUUACUAUAUGUAGCCGGCCUAAAUGAAAACUUAUUCUCCGUCUACGUACUCCCAACCAAUCGACAUUCGGCCAUCACUAGACUAGGCCAGUCGGACGCUAAGCGGCGCGCUCGGUGCACGCGGUUCCCGCGCUAUUUCGAAUUUGGAAUUUUAGAACACAAUUUAAAUUUUAAAUACGUAGUAUGCUAAUAAAUCGGCUGUUCUCUAUUUGAAAACGUCUACGUUUGUCUGUGCUCUAGUCGUGGGUGUUUUAAGUGUCGUGUUUUCAUUUCGAUUAUUGCUUGUGGCGUCUUCGAGUAAUCGGUGAACAUACAU